AAUUUUGACUAAUUUAAGUUUAACUAAUAAAUGAACAUGUUUAGAAAUAUAUAAUCGUUCAUACCAAAAAAACAAACAUAUUUUGAAAAUGCAAAUUCACAAUGUAAUUUGUACACAAUACAUUUGUAAUAAUAACGUUGAGAGCAUGAACUAACUAAAUAUUCAUCACUUUAUUGUUCUUUUGAAAAGAUUUACCAAUGAUGUCGUCGAGUAAAUACUAAAUAGAUCAAUGACUUUUAGGUACAUUCCACUUGGCGUAUGUUGAAUAAUACAAUGAAAUUUAUAAUAAUGUAAUAUAUAAUAACAUGAAAGAAAAUGAAUUCUUUUAUAAAAUAAAAAAUCAUAAUCAUAAUAGGAUUACAUAUUAAAAACCCUUUGGGUGAUAUUAAAAAUGAUAAUCAUAAUCAUUAUCCCUGUCAUUCGUAUAGGUCUUGACGUUCGGUUGCCAUUGCUGAAUCGACUGAAAGAACCCACAGUUUGCUGAGUCUUCCCAAACUAGACACUGAAAGAAUGGUUUUCCCCGAUUAACAACCGUACCAGCGACUUUUACAAUAGCGUCGUACCCAUGAUAACAUUUCUCACCUCCGAUAUGAGGAAAUCUUCGUGACGGACCUCACUUCGAGGAACUAGAAUCGUCGGAACUUUGAUGUGCCAGAGAUUGACUCAUCGAGAAACAACAAAAAAAUGGGAGGACCUAACUUCGCCCUUAAUCUGGACGGGGUAUAAUAGAAGGGAAACGAGGGGAGGGGGUCAAUGGUAUACUAGAAGCUGGUGGACGAGGGAUGAAGAGGCAGAGUUUAGAAGACGACAUUAAGUUUGGGUUUUGGGUAGAGAAGGAUGGCGUGGAAUGAAAAUGUGUAGGUAUGGUUAAUGUUAUUGGAUCUCAGAUGGGGAUAAGGUUCGAAGAUAAGGUUGAGUUUAG
rnacentral:lncRNA from 1 species